CCUACGGGUGGCAGCAGUGAGGAAUAUUGGUCAAUGGGCGCGAGCCUGAUCCAGCCAAGUAGCGUGAAGGAAGACUGCCCUACGGGUUGUAAACUUCUUUUAUAAAGGAAUAAAGUGAGGCACGUGUGACUUUUUGUAUGGACUUUAUCAAUAAGGAUCGGAUAACCCCGUGCCAGCAGCCGCGGUCAUACGGAGGAUCCGAGCGUUAUCCGGAUUUAAUGGGCUUAAAGGGAGCGAAGGAGGUUUGUUAAGUCAGUUGGGAAAGGUUGCGGCGUAACCGUAAAAUUGCAAUUGAUACUGGCAGGCUUGAGUACAGUAGAGGUAGGCAGAAUUCGUGGUGUAGCGGUGAAAUGCGUAGAGAUGACGAAGAACCCCGAUUGCGAAGGCAGCUUACUAAACUGCCACUGACAUUGAUGCUCGAAAGUGUGGGUAGCAAACAGGAUUAGAUACCCGAGUAGUC
rnacentral:rRNA from 1 species